GGGGGAAUAGCUCAGUUGGUUAGAGCAGCGGAAUCAUAAUCCGCGGGUCGGGGGUUCGAGUCCCUUUUCCCCUACCA
rnacentral:tRNA from 1 species